GGAGCGGGGCGGGGUCCCAGGCUCCCUGCGCCUCUCGCGCCCGCAAUGUGCCGGUUCCCGGAGCCCAGGCCCGCACCCCGGGUACUUGAAGGCCUCCAGGCUCCGCCUUCACCACGUGGGCCCUGAGUUCCUCAGCGGCGCCUUCGUGGGCGACACGCGAUUCCUGAGCUUCCACAGCCGCGGCGAGAAUCAGAGAGUGAAGCCGCGGGGGCCGCGGGUGGAGAAGAUGGGACAGGGCUGUGGGCGCCCUGAGGAAAGUUCUCGAAGACCGCAGGGAAUGUGUUACUGAGGGGCCUGAGGGGCCUGAGGUUCCUGGGCCGGCACCACCACCAGGGUCAGCCGGUGAGUGACCUCAGACUCCGGACACAGGUGUCCCCCGCCCCGACCCCAGAGUGAUGGGCCCGGGUCUCCCAGGGAUGGGGGGCGGGGCCUCAGCUGAUCCCUCCCAGGCGGGGAAGCGCUGGGGACAUUUUGCUCCAGGUUUCUCCUUCAAUCUGGAUCAUGACUGACUUGUUCUGUGACCAAUGACAGAGGGAGGAAGGAGCUGGGGUGGGCGGGGAAACCUCCCUCCCCUCCCCGGCCCCGCCUCCGGCUCGCCCUGGGGCAGGUCCAGGGCACCGCACCUGCAGAUGCUGCUGCCUGGCUGGGUGGUGGCUCCGCACAGGAGCUUCCUCGAAGGACACUUUAAGUCCGCCUACGACAAGGAGAUUUCAUGUCCCUGAACGAGAACCUGCAGACCUGGACAGCGGCUCAAAGAGCAGCUUGGAGGAUCCAGCGCACUUGGGAGAGGUUCUGGACCGCGGAGGCCACAAGGGAAACCCCGAUGGGUCACUGCACUAGAUGGCUGCUCAGACACCUGGAGCAUGGCAAGGAGAUGAUGUUGCCGGCAGAAGAUAAAACACCAGGAAACGGAAUCAGCAGAGACACAGUGGAUGAAAGUACCACGAAGGACUGCUAGGUUCUAAUAGAAAGUAGCAGAUAGCCCCGUGGAGAUUCCUGCUGUGCAGCAAAGCCUGGGAGGGGCCCCUGGCUGUGGAAGGCAGGCUGAGACCUCAUAGCCUGCAUGGGCCUGAGAGCAGUGGGAUAUUCACUCAUCUCCUUCCAAUCCCUACUGGUUCCUGACCUCUCUUCUUCCAAUUGGUAAUACCUGCACUCAAGGUUGAACCAUGAGGAGGAGUCUACCCACACCCCAGACCACCGGCACUUCCUCUUCUCUGCCUGCCACUCCCUAGUGGGGCCUCCUGGAUGGUGUGAGAGGAGAGCGACGGAGAUAGCCUUUCUGCUUCAUCAAAACUUGGAAACAAGGCAGAAGACAGAGUCAUCGAGUAAUACAGAAGUGGGGCUGUCAUAUGACCUCAUCGCAGAAGUGACAUCAUUUUUGCCACUUUCUAUUGGUUAGAAGCACGUUUAGGUCCCACCGGUUCUCAGCGGGAUGAGAUGCCAAGAGACAGGAUCACCGGGCAUCAUCUUAGGGUCUCUAUGCACAGGCUGGACUAUGACUGAACAAGAUCAUUACAAACCUGGGUCCUGGAUUGGGCCAGAUGAUCUGCAGAGCUGAGCUGUGUUUAUGAAAUCAAAGCCCUGGAAACAAAAAUCAAGAGAUGCCCACUGGAAA